rnacentral:rRNA from 1 species
AUGCUGGCUGUGCAUGCACAGCAGGGGGAUGUCCAGACGGUUAACGGGUUGUUCCAGGAGAUGAUGGACUCGUACUUUGAGCCUGAUGGGCUGACGUUUCUUGCUCUUCUCACACCAUGUAGUAAUGCCGGUGCAGCAAGAGAGGCCGACUUUUGGUUGAAAGCAAUGCAUUCAAAGUACAAGGUGAAUCCUGGUCUUGAACAUUACACAUGUGUGAUUGGUGGAAUGGCUCGGGCGGGACGCCUUGAGGAUGCGGACAUCAUUGCAUCUACAAUUGCGUGCAAGCCAGAUGCAGCUGUGUGGCGGACACUCCUAACAGGUUGUGUGGUUCACCACAAGGCUGAUAUGGCGGGAAUCAUGGAGCAGUGCCUAUUGAAAAUUGACGCAAAGGAUAAUUCAGCCUAUGUGAUGCUUGCCAAUGUCGACUCCACAACAGUAAGGAAGGAUGAGGUGGCUGAGGCAUGGACUGCAAUGAGGGACUUCGGAAUCAGAAAAGAAGUCAGGUCGAAGUUGGAUUGA